GUGGAUGUAGCUCAAUGGUAGAGCCCUGGACUGUGGAUCCAGUUGUUGCGGGUUCGAGCCCCGUCAUCCACC
rnacentral:tRNA from 2 species